rnacentral:rRNA from 1 species
UACGGGAGGCAGCAGUGGGGAAUAUUGCACAAUGGGCGCAAGCCUGAUGCAGCCAUGCCGCGUGUAUGAAGAAGGCCUUCGGGUUGUAAAGUACUUUCAGUCGUGAGGAAGGUGUUAAGGUUAAUAACCUUAGCAAUUGACGUUAGCGACAGAAGAAGCACCGGCUAACUCCGUGCCAGCAGCCGCGGUAAUACGGAGGGUGCGAGCGUUAAUCGGAAUUACUGGGCGUAAAGGGCACGCAGGCGGUUAAUUAAGUUGGAUGUGAAAUCCCCGGGCUUAACCUGGGAAUGGCAUUCAAGACUGGUUAGCUAGAGUCUUGUAGAGGGGGUAGAAUUCCAUGUGUAGCGGUGAAAUGCGUAGAGAUGUGGAGGAAUACCGGUGGCGAAGGCGGCCCCUGGGACAAAGGACUGACGCUCAUGUGCGAAAGCGUGGGGAGCAAACACGAUUAGAUACC